GGUUGGGUGAGGGAAUUACAGUCUCCAGCCCAGCUUAGCCCCACCUCAUGGUCCUGCCACCCCAGUGGGGACCCCACUCUGAAGAGAGAUUGUCCCACCAGCCCCUUGGGGACCUUGUACCAUCACUCUGCCCACCCCGUGCCCCCCACUGCUCACAGGCCACUGAACACCAGUGCCCCAUCCCAGCUGCUGCUCUUGUCCCCACCCACCCAUCAAGGCUCUUGCUGUCAGAGCCCUCACUCACAGCCUGCCUCCCUCACCUUCAUUUACAUCUUCAUACCUUCCAGACACACCGGCCCCACCCUCUGCUAAAACCGCUCCUGCCAAGGCCCACAUGACCUUCGUUCAGAGAAACCCCACCUUUAUCACUACAGUCAGGUUUCUGCCUGCAGGGUCCCCACCCUGAUCAACAAGUCUCCCUCAGCUCCUCACAAAGCCCCAGCCUCUCUAAGACCCUUUCUCUGACUCCUACUCCCCUCCCUGAGAUCCCAUGACCAACCCAGGUGCUGCCCCUAGAGCCAAGCCUCCAUCCUUCGCAUUAAGCCUCCAGCCUAUCACUGACCUCCAUUCCCCCAACAAGUCCCCAAGCUCCAGCCUGCCACACCCCAGUCCCUGCCUGUGUCCGUAACCACACUGCCCCACUCUCUCAGUGCUCUGUGUAUUCAGGCCCUGGGCACCGGUGGAGGCUGUGCUAUUUGAGGAGGUGCCCUGGAGUAGCGGAUGUGGGGCCAGGCGGGGCCAGGGAGGGCACUGGCUGCUGUCCAAGGUACUGACCAGAAUCAGGCCCUGGUUGAGUCUCACCACUCCCUCCAGCGGGGGCCUAGCUUGUACCCUGGAGAACUGCUGGGCUGUCCUGCAGCUCAGUUAGCACCUUUGCCCUUCCUACCCUGCUUCAGCCUGGCCCAGGGGCUUCCCAAGGACCCCAUGGGUACAGACAUAGGGCCCAAAUUAAAGGGAGGAACAUGUCCAGGCACCCCUUGGGCUGAUAGGGCAAAGAGGUGGCUGAUGUGGCCCUUUUGCCCACCCUUGAUCCUCCCCCAAAUCUUCAUCCCCAGCCCUGCAGCCAUCUCCCCUGCCAACCCCACCCCCGCCCGCAGUCUCCUCGUACAGAUGGAGGGGUCAUGGACCAGAUAGGAGCAGGGACCUCUCAAGGUCACACAGCAGACCUGGGACAGACUUCUGCCUGCCUCCCCUCAGGAUCGGGUUUCUCAGUGACACCCUCUGGAAUCUGGGCCCAUAGGGAAGAUGUUGCCAUUGUCCGCAGUUGGGAGAAGAAGAACCUGGCACAUGAGGAAGCCAAGUAAUUGGACCAGCCCUCUCCAUCAUGGCUUUUCCCACGCCUCUGAUUGGACUGGAAACUCCCUGAAAGGAGGAAGAAAGUCAGAUUCACCUGUAGGUCCCUCCCGGGCCUGGAGAGGCUGGCAUGCUGUUGGCACUCACUGACUGCCUGAUGGCAGACUGGCUGGAUGGAAUGGUGACCUGUGACCAGUCUGUCUCUCUCCUCAGCUGACCUGAGAGUUCCUGGAGGCCAGGGACUGUGUUUGCCUCACCUCGGCACCUCUGUGCCUGGGGUAGAGGAACUGCUCAACAAGUUCUGGUUGAAUGAAUAGAGGGAACACUAAGAGUGAAUAAUUAUUGAGCACUUACUGUGUGCGAGCAGCUGCUGUAACCAUAGGACACUUUUUUAUCUCAAUGAACCCUGCAGAGGGUUCCAAUGAGGGAAUGGAGCAGACCUGAUCAUCAAGCUGGGCGUGGGGAGGUGCCUCGUGGCAGGUGCCAGAAGACAUGACAGGGACUCCUGCACAUGGCACCACAGCAAUGCUGUCAAGGUUGCCUGUGGAAUCUGAAAACUGAAACACUCGUCUUUAUACCCAGAGUUGGCCAAAGCAAGACACUAGCAAAUCAGUUAACCCAAAAAUGUGCAAACAAGAUAUCCCGUGC